GGGAAUCUUGGACAAUGGGCGCAAGCCUGAUCCAGCCAUGCCGCGUGAGUGAUGAAGGCCCUAGGGUUGUAAAGCUCUUUCAGCGAGGAGGAUAAUGACGUUACUCGCAGAAGAAGCCCCGGCUAACUUCGUGCCAGCAGCCGCGGUAAUACGAAGGGGGCUAGCGUUGUUCGGAAUCACUGGGCGUAAAGCGCACGUAGGCGGAUCAGAAAGU
rnacentral:rRNA from 1 species